GACAUAAGUAACCUACCCUAAACAGGGGGAUAACUAUUGGAACGAUAGCUAAGACCGCAUAGGUAUAGCUUCCGCAUGGAAGGGAUAUUAAAAGUAGCUAAGGCACUGGUAGAGGAUGGACUUAUGGCGCAUUAGCUAGUUGGUAGGGUAAAGGCCUGCCAAGGCGACGAUGCGUAGCCGACCUGAGAGGGUGACCGGCCACACUGGGACUGAGACACGGCCCAGACUCCUACGGGAGGCAGCAGUAGGGAAUUUUCGGCAAUGGGGGAAACCCUGACCGAGCAACGCCGCGUGAAGGAA
rnacentral:rRNA from 1 species